rnacentral:rRNA from 1 species
UACGUAGGGCGCAAGCGUUGUCCGGAAUUAUUGGGCGUAAAGAGCGUGUAGGCGGCCAGGUAGGUCCGUUGUGAAAACUCGAGGCUCAACCUCGAGACGUCGGCGGAAACCCUCUGGCUAGAGUCCGGAAGAGGAGAGUGGAAUUCCUGGUGUAGCGGUGAAAUGCGCAGAUAUCAGGAAGAACACCCGUGGCGAAGGCGGCUCUCUGGGACGGUACUGACGCUGAGACGCGAAAGCGUGGGGAGCGAACAGG